AGUAUUAUCGAAGCGGAUAAUGAGCUCUGAAGAAUAUGUGGAAAGAAUCCGUGACCAGUCUUGGGUUUCAAACAGUAUUCGAGAUUGAAGAGUAACGGAUCAAUUCCGGCAAUUCAUAUUUCCGGUUGUGAUGAAGCGAUAGGAUGAAGAAAGAAGAUGGGAUUCGUCUUCGUCGAUGAUAUUUGAUUUCCAUGUUUCACAAAGAAUAUCCUCUUUAAAUGGUAUCAAGGCAUUUCAACAACGAUUCCUCGGAAAUAUUAAUUUAUACAUAAUCGAUGAAACGUUCCUCCACCUCCAAUCGUUCAAUACUUUUUUCCCAAAUGUUGUUAAAGUAAUUAAAUGAAAUCAAAGAUCGAUAAAACAUAGAAAUACGUGAAUUAAAGUUCAAAAUUGUGGACGUAAAUCGGUGAAAAUUACUUCGAACGAUUACUACCAUCGCUUAUUAUAGCUGACGUAAUUCAUGGGCUAUGUUUCACUCGCGACAACAACAACAAUAACAACAACACGAGUUAGAAGCCUCCACACGCUCUGUUACCAGCAUGUUUAUAAUCUUUUAUUACCAUUGGAUGAUCGGUUCUCGGUCGAGCUUAGAUGCUAAUUUGUUUAAAUUUGCAUCUUUAUCAUCGUGAACAUAAUAAACUGAAGAAAUAUUGGUAAUAGUUGUCUUUUGAUUUUUCAUUCACUGUAAUAAUGCGAUGAAUUCAUUUUUUUAUUAUUGUGCACAAUACAAAGCAUGAAUUAUGGCGAAUGAAUCGUUUGCAUUUUUUGCUUGUGCAAUUAUAUAAUUGCAACGCUCAUUUUAAAUCGAUUAAUAAUCCUCGAAACGAGGGACACGUAGUAAAAAAAUUAUUUCUCUGAAAUCGCAACGAGGCUUGGAAGGCUUGAUUAAUUGUAAUAUGAUCAACAUCAUUUUGUUAGCUCAUGAUUGAUUCGCCAAAAUCAAGAACUUGAUUAGAUUGUUAAAGAAGAUUCGAGAAGGAACAUUUAUUGCGCGAAAGGAAAUGUACAGUGAUCUAAAUCAAUCGAAGCCGGCUAAUCCUUAUUUUCUAAAUCUGUGAAACAGCGGAGAAUUCCAUUGAAAUCUCUUCGACCAUCAUCGAUCAAGCGUAAUUGGGGAAAAAACGAAGCGGAGAACGUUGGAGGAAGCAAGGGAUCGAUUAGUCUGUGAUUGAGUUACAGGAAGGCAGUCGUUUAUUGGCAUAAUCGAUACCUUACUGGGUCUAAUAAAUACAUCCUUGGGAAACCUCGAGCUCGGUAUAUUCUCUCGACAAGGUUUUUUUUUUCUUUCUUUCUUUCUCUUUCGCGAAAUCCAUGAUUCGAAGAGGAAAAAUCAUGUUAACACCAACGUUGGAUUAUCCUCAUUUCGAGGCAUAAUCGACGUUCAAAGGUUGUCAUCUGGUUAAACAUGGUCUCGUAUCGACAACAUUUAUACGUAUUUUACGUACGAUAUAUUAGCAUCGAUAUUUAAAAAUAACGAAAGAAGAAGAGACUUAAAAAUUAUGAGAAGGAAUAAGUUGUAUAUAUCGGGUUGAAAAAAUUCGAAUAGAGAGAGAAAAAAAAAAAAGAAAGAAAGAAAGGAGAAAAUAAUAAUAAAUAAAAGACGACGAUUAAAAGUUGUCGCGGUGUCGUUCCAUCGAUAUUUCGUUAUCAAUCGCAAAAGAAAAGAACAGUGGCAAUAGAUUAUCAGUGAAUAACCAUCUCAUUGCCACCGUAUACGCAGCGCACAAACGACGUAUGAUCGUCGACUGAUCGGCAAAACAUUCACGCCGACAAUCUCGCCGCUGUCGAGGCAUGCAGAGGAAUGUUGAUGCUGUGCUGUCAUCGAUAAGUGGACACGCAUUUAUAUUUAAACUACAUGUAAUAAUAUGAAUACGUCGAUGUUGGUCUGACGUCGUUCAUAUGCUAUUAACCUUUUUGCCACUGGACGCGUAUGUACAUACAUACAUAUGUAUAGCUGCAUGUAUACCUCGUUAAACAUCGACUAACCAUUUGCUAAAAAACGUGCAAAUAUUUUCCAUAAAAU